UGCUCACCUACCCCUAGAUCCCUGUAUAAGGAGGCGCCCAUUUCUGGCGAAGCGCUUAGGCUUCGGAGCACAACUCCACUGAGCCCUCCAGCGUAAUUAAAGGUUUGUCUCCACCUCUUCAAGUGACUUUCGGAUUCUCAAGUCUUCGAAUUGCAGCAGCAGCGGAUGCGUAUAGCACCGAGCUCUUCACCUUUGCCACAACAGGAUGAAUCUACGUAGAUGGGGCAUGCAGCUCCUGCUUUGGUGGGCCUUCACUUGUGGACUGUGGCUUAUGAACUGAGUGAGUUGUGGACUGUGGGCUUGUGGACUGAGCCAGCUGUCACACCAUAGACCAGAUGCUACUGCUUGCCAGAAAGCCUGGUACUUGUCGCAGAAAUGAGAGGUAGGCUCUGCUCCCAAGGAGCGCACAGAUCCAAAGUGGAAGACUUGGUGUUUGAAAUGGCUGUGGUGAGUCCUCUACCAUUUGUCAUUGCAAGCCAACGAGAUGUUUUCUCUCAGGCAGGACAUCAGGAAUAUCCCCCAACACGCACACCAUGCACACCCAUAUGCACAGGCACCCAUGCGCACACGUGUAUGCGUAAGUCAAGGCCAUAGAUAGGAAUGGAGGGCAUCUCCCAAGCUUUCAACAUGGAUCCUAGAAUGAGAGGGACAUGGCCAGGAAGUAUGUUUCAGGCUUUGCUGCUCUCCUUCUCCAGUAUCUGUCUAGACACUGCUUUAGGUACUUACACACUAUUUAAAAAUACAUAAUAGUAUAUAGUAAUU
ensembl:lncRNA